CCUACGGGAGGCAGCAGUGGGGAAUAUUGCACAAUGGGGGAAACCCUGAUGCAGCGACGCCGCGUGAGCGACGAAGUAUCUCGGUAUGUAAAGCUCUAUCAGCAGGGAAGAAAAUGACGGUACCUGACUAAGAAGCCCCGGCUAACUCCGUGCCAGCAGCCGCGGUAAUACGUAGGGGGCACGCGUUAUCCGGAUUUACUGGGUGGAAAGGGAGCGCAGGCGGCGCGGUAAGUCCGAAGUGAAAGCCCAGGGCUCAACCCCAGGACUGCAAGGGAAACUGUCGUGCUGGAGUGUCGGAGGGGCAAGGAGAAUUCCUAGUGUAGCGGUGAAAUGCGUAGAUAUUAGGAGGAACACC
rnacentral:rRNA from 1 species